rnacentral:rRNA from 1 species
AUUGAACGCUGGCGGCAUGCCUUACUCAUGCAAGUCGAACGGUAACAGGUCUUCGGAUGCUGACGAGUGGCGAACGGGUGAGUAAUACAUCGGAACGUGCCUAGUAGUGGGGGAUAACUACUCGAAAGAGUGGCUAAUACCGCAUGAGAUCUACGGAUGAAAGCAGGGGAUCGCAAGACCUUGUGCUACUAGAGCGGCCGAUGGCAGAUGAGGGAGUUGGUGGGAUGAAAGCUUACCAAGCCGACGAGCUGUAGCUGGUCUGAGAGGACGCUCAGCGACACUGGGACUGAGAUACGGACCAGACUCAUACGGGAGGCAGCAGUGGGGAAUUGUGGACAAUGGGCGCAAGCCUGAUCCAGCAAUGCCGCGCGCAGGAGGAAGGCCUUCGGGUUGUAAACUGCUUUUGUACGGAACGAAAAGCCCCGGGUUAAUACCCUGGGGUCAUGACGGUACCGUAAGAAUAAGCACCGGCUAACUACGUGCCAGCAGCCGCCGUAA